AUUGAACGCUGGCGGCAGGCCUAACACAUGCAAGUCGACCGAGUGGCGGACGGGUGAGUAAUGUCAGGGAAACUGCCUGAUGGAGGGGGCUAACUACUGGAAACGGUAGCUAAUACCGCAUACCAUGAGAUGUGCCCAGAUGGGCUUAGCUAGUUGGUGGGGGAACGGCGCACCAAGGCGAAGAUCCCUAGAUGUGCUGAGAGGAUGACCAUCCACACUGGAACUGAGACACGGUCCAGACUCCUCCGGGAGGCAGCAGUGGGGAAUAUUGCACAAUGGGCGCAAGCCUGAUGCAGCCAUGCCGAGUGUAUGAAGAAGGCCUUCGGGUUGUAAAGUACUUUCAGCGGGGAGGCGUUACCCGCAGAAGAAGCACCGGCUAACUCCGUGCCAGUAGCCGCGGUAAUAC
rnacentral:rRNA from 1 species